GACGAACGCUGGCGGCGUGCUUAACACAUGCAAGUCGAACGGAAAGGCCCUGCUUUUGUGGGGUGCUCGAGUGGCGAACGGGUGAGUAACACGUGAGUAACCUGCCCUUGACUUUGGGAUAACUUCAGGAAACUGGGGCUAAUACCGGAUAGGAGCUCCUGCUGCAUGGUGGGGGUUGGAACGUUUCGGCGGUUGGGGAUGGACUCGCGGCUUAUCAGCUUGUUGGUGGGGUAGUGGCUUACCAAGGCUUUGACGGGUAGCCGGCCUGAGAGGGUGACCUGCCACAUUGGGACUGAGAUACGGCCCAGACUCCUACGGGAGGCAGCAGUGGGGAAUAUUGCACAAUGGGCGGAAGCCUGAUGCAGCAACGCCGCGUGCGGGAUGACGGCCUUCGGGUUGUAAACCGCUUUCGCCUGUGACGAAGCGUGAGUGACGGUAAUGGGUAAAGAAGCACCGGCUAACUACGUG
rnacentral:rRNA from 1 species